UACGGAGGGGGCUAGCGUUGCUCGGAAUCACUGGGCGUAAAGGGUGCGUAGGCGGGUCUUUAAGUCAGGGGUGAAAUCCUGGAGCUCAACUCCAGAACUGCCUUUGAUACUGAGGAUCUUGAGUUCGGGAGAGGUGAGUGGAACUGCGAGUGUAGAGGUGAAAUUCGUAGAUAUUCGCAAGAACACCAGUGGCGAAGGCGGCUCACUGGCCCGGUACUGACGCUGAGGCGCGAAAGCGUGGGGAGCAAACAGG
rnacentral:rRNA from 1 species